UACGGAGGGCGCGAGCGUUACCCGGAUUUAUUGGGCGUAAAGGGCGUGUAGGCGGCCUGGGGCGUCCCAUGUGAAAGGCCACGGCUCAACCGUGGAGGAGCGUGGGAUACGCUCAGGCUAGAGGGUGGGAGAGGGUGGUGGAAUUCCCGGAGUAGCGGUGAAAUGCGCAGAUACCGGGAGGAACGCCGAUGGCGAAGGCAGCCACCUGGUCCACUUCUGACGCUGAGGCGCGAAAGCGUGGGGAGCAAACCGG
rnacentral:rRNA from 1 species